CACGUAGGGGGCAAGCGUUGUCCGGAUUUAUUGGGCGUAAAGAGCUCGUAGGCGGCUUAGUAAGUCGGGUGUGAAACCUCCAGGCUCAACCUGGAGACGCCACCCGAUACUGCUGUGGCUAGAGUCCGGUAGGAGAGUGGAAUUCCUGGUGUAGCGGUGAAAUGCGCAGAUAUCAGGAAGAACACCAAUGGCGAAGGCAGCUCUCUGGGACGGUACUGACGCUGAGACGCGAAAGCGUGGGGAGCGAACAGG
rnacentral:rRNA from 1 species